GACGGGUAUCCGGCCUGAGAGGGUGAACGGACACACUGGAACUGAGACACGGUCCAGACUCCUACGGGAGGCAGCAGUAGGGAAUAUUGCUCAAUGGGGGAAACCCUGAAGCAGCAACGCCGCGUGGAGGAUGAAGGUUUUAGGAUUGUAAACUCCUUUUGUUAGAGAAGAUUAUGACGGUAUCUAACGAAUAAGCACCGGCUAACUCCGUGCCGGCAGCCGCGGUAAUACGGAGGGUGCAAGCGUUACUCGGAAUCACUGGGCGUAAAGAGUGCGCAGGCGGGAUAGCAAGUCAGAUGUGAAAUGCUAUGGCUUAACCAUAGAACUGCAUUUGAAACUGUUAUUCUA
rnacentral:rRNA from 1 species